rnacentral:lncRNA from 10 species
UUAAAAUUCUUUCUGUUGAGUGAUAAACACAUGCUUGAAAGCUCAAAUUAUAUUUAAAACACCUAUUAAAUAUAUUAUUAUAUUUAUAUGUACAGUAAUAUAAUAAAUGUAUUUUAUAUAUAAUAAUGAUUUAAAGUACUUGUUUAAAAUUCUCUAUUGCUGAGUGAUAAACACAUGCUUCGUAACUUCUCUGGUUCUGUUUUAUUCAUUAUAAUCCUCAAAAACCCUGAAAGAAACAGAAUAACCUUUUUAUUGACCCACUCAAGUUAUUUAAUUUUUAUGUUUCCCUAGCCCAUAUCUGUUCACGUAUAGCUGAAAAUAAAAAAGAAACGGUGGAUUGAAAUUGAAGGGAAAUAGACAAUAGUUAUUGUUCCUAGCUUAAUUGGGAGAGAAAGCCAGAGUAAAAUAAGAGUCUAUUGCAGCUAAGAGGAAGAAGUUCUUUAGUCUCAACCAAAUAUGUAAAUAUAACAUCUCUCUUCUAAUAUUUUUAGUGCUAAUUCCUAGUAUAGAGCUGAUUAAGGGUGGGGGAAGCACAUAUUUAAUGGCCAUUAUUAUGCUAUUCUGAGGAAAAUUCUCUCAGUGUCUAAUAUUUUAAAAAUGGGUUUUAAUUAGAUCUUAUCAGCAACCCUAAAAUGCAACUUUUCUCACCCUCCAGAAAACAAAACAAAACAAAACAAAACUCACACCAUCCCCAAAACUAGGCUUGAUGAAUAACCACAUGGAAAAUAUGGAAAGAUGUUUCAUUAACCACACGGCAGAUGGAACUAGGUGGGAGGAAAACCUACCACAGCUUCUCUUAAUGGCAUAUUCAGGCUUUACUUCAGAAAAGGGAAGCAUCUAAAAAAGAUUGGAAGAAUUUCUCACCACUCUGCAGGCAGCUGUCUCCUCCCAGCACCCAGGACCUGAACUCAGAAACUACCAGCAACACAGACGUGAGUCAUUCUUGCUGCUAUGCAGUUACCCUUAGUGCUGUCCACCCCUCGUCCCAUCCCUCUUUUAAUCUAUAUUCAUUCAGAGAAAGGAGCUUAAAAAGCAAGCAAAGAAAAAUCACCUGUGCGGAAAGUAGAAGAAACUGCUGCUGGCUCAUCGCAUUUUAGGAAAAACAAUGCGCACGAGUAAAGCAGUCUUAGUAAGAGAAGAGUAGGAAAGAAACACGCUUAGCAGCAUGUUAGAAACUAGUUUCUCGUGCCCUCCUUGGACUCAGAAUACAAUACCAGAGAACAAUCAGAUAAGGCAGGAAAAGUUAGAAGUUUGGGGAAAUAGAGCUUCCGUAGGCAACUGUGAGGAAUCAGGAACAGGCUGGGAGCAGGCACUGCCCACCUGUCCUACCCCGAGAGCACCAGGAUAGGACUCCACACAGGAGGACCGGACCUCGAUGAUGAGCUCACCCUCGCUCUUAACAAGCACUGGCUCUCUACAGAUGUCACUUCCUUUAAGGAUGAGUAAAUAAGGGAGGAAAAACUCUAUGGGGCGGGGCGGGGUCUGGGAGGUAGUUUUUUGUAAAGCUACAGAAAAUAGGAAAGAGACUUCAUCUCAAUGAUUUAGAAGACUUUAGAAGACUCUAAAAAUAAUCUACAGGAGGACCCAAGAGAUCCAACACGCUGGACUCCUCUAUAGGAUAUCAAAAGGAACUCCGGGUGAGGACGACAAGAGCUGAGCUCGGGUGCUUGCCUUCUGCACUCUCGGGAGGAGGCACCAGCAUGGGCACCCUUCACAGUUCGGGCCCCUCACUCACAAACGUCUGGCACAUGGAAACAAGCUGGCAAAAAGAUUGUUUUUUUCUUCUGUACUUUUUGUUAUAAGCCUGUGGUGAAGUGUCCAUAUCUGGCAUAAAUGAAUGUGAGUGGUCUUGGGAAUCUAAAUAUAACAUGUUUCUAAGUUACACACAGCAUAAAUGAGUGUUUAUGAGUGGUCUUGGGAAUCUAAAUAUAAUACAUUUCUAAAUUACAACCAACCAACUUACAGGGGGCAUUUUGGUCUUUAACCUGUUUAUUAAAUCAGACACUGCCUGAACUUUCCUCUGAAGGAAGAGAGGAAUGAGUAUUUACUGAAUGCUAAUUAAGUGCUACUCACAUUACUGGAAUGCUUCUCUCUGAUCCACCAGCCCCAGGAGAAAGGCCCUGUCCUCAUUUUGCAAGCGAGGAAAUGGAGGCUCAGAG